AGUGAACGCUGGCGGUAGGCCUAACACAUGCAAGUCGAACGGCAGCACAGUAAGAGCUUGCUAUUACGGGUGGCGAGUGGCGGACGGGUGAGGAAUACAUCGGAAUCUACUUUUUCGUGGGGGAUAACGUAGGGAAAAUUACGCUAAUACCGCAUACGACCUACGGGGGAAAGCAGGGGAUCUUCGGACCUUGCGCGAAUGAAUGAGCCGAUGUCGGAUUAGCUAGUUGGCGGGGUAAAGGCUCACCAAGGCGACGAUCCGUAGCUGGGCUGAGAGGAUGAUCAGCCACACUGGAACUGAGACACGGUCCAGACUCCUACGGGAGGCAGCAGUGGGGAAUAUUGGCCAAUGGGCGCAAUCCUGAUCCAGCCAUACCGCGUGGGUGAAGAAGGCCUUCGGGUUGUAAAGCCCUUUUGUUGGGAAAGAAAAGCAGCAGGUUAAUCCCCCGCUGUUCUGACGGUACCCAAAGAAUAAGCACCGGCUAACUUCGUG
rnacentral:rRNA from 1 species